UACGUAUGGUGCAAGCGUUAUCCGGAUUUACUGGGUGUAAAGGGAGCGUAGGCGGCGCGUUAAGCCUGGUGUGAAAGCCCGCGGCCCAACCGCGGGACUGCAUUGGGAACUGGCGCGCUGGAGUGCCGGAGGGGUAGGCGGAAUUCCUAGUGUAGCGGUGAAAUGCGUAGAUAUUAGGAGGAACACCAGUGGCGAAGGCGGCCUACUGGACGGUGACUGACGCUGAGGCUCGAAAGCGUGGGGAGCAAACAGG
rnacentral:rRNA from 1 species